UCUCGCGGCCUAUCAGCUUGUUGGUGAGGUAGUGGCUCACCAAGGCGACGACGGGUAGCCGGCCUGAGAGGGCGACCGGCCACACUGGGACUGAGACACGGCCCAGACUCCUACGGGAGGCAGCAGUGGGGAAUAUUGCACAAUGGGCGAAAGCCUGAUGCAGCGACGCCGCGUGAGGGAUGACGGCCUUCGGGUUGUAAACCUCUUUCAGCAGGGAAGAAGCGAAAGUGACGGUACCUGCAGAAGAAGCGCCGGCUAACUACGUGCCAGCAGCCGCGGUAAUACGUAGGGCGCAAGCGUUGUCCGGAAUUAUUGGGCGUAGAGAGCUCGUAGGCGGCUUGUCACGUCGGUUGUGAAAGCCCGGGGCUUAACCCCGGGUCUGCAGUCGAUACGGGCAGGCUAGAGUUCGGUAGGGGAGAUCGGAAUUCCUGGUGUAGCGGUGAAAUGCGCAGAUAUCAGGAGGAACACCGGUGGCGAAGGCAGAUCUCUGGGCCGAUACUGACGCUGAGGAGCGAAAGCGUGGGGAGCGAACAGGAUUAGAUACCCUGGUAGUCCACGCCGUAAACGGUGGGCACUAGGUGUGGGCAACAUUCCACGUUGUCCGUGCCGCAGCUAACGCAUUAAGUGCCCCGCCUGGGGAGUACGGAAGCUUGGAAUUCGC
rnacentral:rRNA from 1 species